GAUCAUGGCUCAGGAUGAACGCUAGCUACAGGCUUAACACAUGCAAGUCGAGGGGCAGCAUGAACUUAGCUUGCUAAGUUUGAUGGCGACCGGCGCACGGGUGAGUAACACGUAUCCAACCUGCCGAUAACUCGGGGAUAGCCUUUCGAAAGAAAGAUUAAUACCCGAUGGCAUAGUUCUUCCGCACGGUGGAACUAUUAAAGAAUUUCGGUCAUCGAUGGGGAUGCGUUCCAUUAGGUUGUUGGG
rnacentral:rRNA from 1 species